UCCAGGUGGUGCUGUCACAUGGGCCA
rnacentral:piRNA from 1 species